rnacentral:tRNA from 1 species
GGGGCCGUAGCUCAAUUGGGAGAGCACCGCGUUUGCAAUGCGGGGGUUAGGGGUUCGAGCCCCCUCGGCUCCA